rnacentral:misc_RNA from 1 species
GAUGAAGAACGUAGCUAAAUGCGAUAAGUAGUGUGAAUUGCAGAAUUCAGUGAAUCAUCGAAUCUUUGAACGCACAUUGCGCCCCAUGGUAUUCCGUGGGGCAUGCCUGUUCGAGCGUCAUUUACCCCCUCAAGCUCCGCUUGGUGUUGGGCGUCUGUCCCGCUUCGCGCGCGGACUCGCCCCAAAGGUAUUGGCAGCGGUCGUGCCAGCUUCUCGCGCAGCACAUUGCGCUUCUCGAGGCACCGGUGGGCCCGCGUCCAUCAAGCUCACCCCCCCAGUUUGACCUCGGAUCAGGUAGGGAUACCCGCUGAACUUAAGCAUAUCAAUAAGCGGAGGA